rnacentral:rRNA from 1 species
CCUACGGGUGGCAGCAGUGGGGAAUAUUGCACAAUGGAGGGAACUCUGAUGCAGCGACGCCGCGUGAGUGAAGAAGUAAUUCGGUAUGUAAAGCUCUGUCAGCAAGGAAGAAAGUGACGGUACCUGAAGAAGAAGCUCCGGCUAAAUACGUGCCAGCAGCCGCGGUAAUACGUAUGGGGCAAGCGUUAUCCGGAUUUACUGGGUGUAAAGGGAGCGUAGGUGGCAGAGCAAGUCCGAAGUGAAAAGCCAACGCUCAACCGUGGGAAUGCUUUGGAAACUGGUGAGCUAGAGUGCAGGAGAGGAAAGUGGAAUUCUUAGUGUAGCGGUGAAAUGCGUAGAUAUUAGGAGGAACACCAGUGGCGAAGGCGGCUCGCUGGACUGUAACUGACACUGAGGCACGAAAGCGUGGGGAGCAAACAGGAUUAGAUACCCUUGUAGUC